AUUGAACUCUGGCGGCAGGCUUAACACAUGCAAGUCGAGCGAGCGGCGGACGGGUGAGUAAUGUCUGGGAAACUGCAUGAUGGAGGGGGAUAACUACUGGAAACGGUAGCUAAUACCGCAUACAAUCAGAUGUGCCCAGAUGGGAUUAGCUGGUAGGUGGGGUAAUGGCUCACCUAGGCUAUGAUCCCUAUCUGGUAUGAGAGGAUGACCAGCCACACUUGAACUGAGACACGGUCCGGACUCCUACGGGUGGCAGCAUUGGGGAAUAUUGCACAAUGGGCGCAAGCCUGAUGCAGCCAUGCCGCGUGUGUGAAGAAGGCCUUCGGGUUGUAAAGCACUUUCAGCGAGGAGGCGUUACUCGCAGAAGAAGCACCGGCUAACUCCGUGCCAGCAGCCGCGGUAAUUC
rnacentral:rRNA from 1 species